rnacentral:tRNA from 1 species
GAGAAAGUUACAAGAACUGCUAAUUCUUGAUCCCAUACCUAACCAGUAUGGCUUUCUUA